UACGGAAGGCAGCAGUGGGGAAUAUUGCACAAUGGGCGCAAGCCUGAUGCAGCCAUGCCGCGUGUAUGAAGAAGGCCUUCGGGUUGUAAAGUACUUUCAGUCGUGAGGAAGGUGUUAAGGUUAAUAACCUUAGCAAUUGACGUUAGCGACAGAAGAAGCACCGGCUAACUCCGUGCCAGCAGCCGCGGUAAUACGGAGGGUGCGAGCGUUAAUCGGAAUUACUGGGCGUAAAGGGCACGCAGGCGGUUAAUUAAGUUGGAUGUGAAAUCCCCGGGCUUAACCUGGGAAUGGCAUUCAAGACUGGUUAGCUAGAGUCUUGUAGAGGGGGUAGAAUUCCAUGUGUAGCGGUGAAAUGCGUAGAGAUGUGGAGGAAUACCGGUGGCGAAGGCGGCCCCUGGCAAAGGACUGACGCUCAUGUGCGAAAGCGUGGGGAGCAAAC
rnacentral:rRNA from 1 species